rnacentral:rRNA from 1 species
UAGGGAAUCUUCGGCAAUGGACGGAAGUCUGACCGAGCAACGCCGCGUGAGUGAAGAAGGUUUUCGGAUCGUAAAGCUCUGUUGUAAGAGAAGAACGAGUGUGAGAGUGGAAAGUUCACACUGUGACGGUAUCUUACCAGAAAGGGACGGCUAACUACGUGCCAGCAGCCGCGGUAAUACGUAGGUCCCGAGCGUUGUCCGGAUUUAUUGGGCGUAAAGCGAGCGCAGGCGGUUAGAUAAGUCUGAAGUUAAAGGCUGUGGCUUAACCAUAGUACGCUUUGGAAACUGUUUAACUUGAGUGCAAGAGGGGAGAGUGGAAUUCCAUGUGUAGCGGUGAAAUGCGUAGAUAUAUGGAGGAACACCGGUGGCGAAAGCGGCUCUCUGGCUUGUAACUGACGCUGAGGCUCGAAAGCGUGGGGAGCAAACAGGAUUAGAUACCCUGGUAGUCCACGCCGUAAACGAUGAGUGCUAGGUGUUAGACCCUUUCCGGGGUCUAGUGCCGUAGCUAACGCAUUAAGCACUCCGCCUGGGGAGUACGACCGCAAGGUUG